rnacentral:lncRNA from 1 species
CUGCCCUCAUCUCCGUCUUCGGGAGCCUGGCUGGGAUCACCUGCUCAUCAAAUGAAGGAAGUUGAAGGUUAAACUUGCCUCUGAGACGAGGGAUCCUCAGGGGCCUGAGGUGUCCAAACAUCGUGGAGUUGCGAGCAGACAGCGCAGGUUUCUUCCUCGAGGGGGGGCUCCAGACCACAGGAGGCAGGACCCUCUGUGGGGUGCCCGUGUUCUGAGGGCUAAGACACAGCCUCAUAGGGGCACCAUCCCACCUGUCUGGAAAAGAAGGCCCAAGAUGUCGCUGACGGUUGAAGAGUGGGAAAUGGCCCCAGAUUCCCCGGGCAGGCACAGGUGCAGGAGCCGCGGGGUGAGCCCGGCCAGCUGGGAAGGCCUCACGGACAAGACGAGCAGGUGGCCGAUGGCAUGGCCAGGACCUGCGGCGGAACCAGGAACAAAAUACGCUUAGUGAGUUGCCCAUUUUGAGCGAGUUGUGCACAGACGAAAGUAAGGGUGAGAAGCGGAGAGGAUACUCCUAAGUCACCCACUUCUCUGUGGCCGGGUGCACACUGGGCAUCUGGGAGUUUAUGACAUCACAAUGGGGCUGGUGACAGAGCUAGGGUGUGGAGGAGUGCUUAGGAGCCCAGCGAGGGUGCCUACAAGAGGAGUCAAAGGGCAAAGGAUGAAAAAAUUGAGGCUCAAAGAAGUCCACCAAAUUGAGAGUGAAGUAGGGGAAACAGCAUUUAACGCUUACAUUCUAAUGAUUUGUGUAAGAGCAGCAGGACAAGCUAUACAAAGGUAAGACAAUUCAUCUAACAACGAGGCCAUGGAGAGAGUUGUCAAGGAAGACAGCCUUC